GGAGGGUAUAGCUCAAGUGGUAGAGCGCAUGCCUAGCAUGCAUGAGGUCCUGGGUUCAAUCCCCAGUACCUCCA
rnacentral:tRNA from 1 species